AGCCUGGCGAUAGUUGUGCAGUUAAGGCUUGUGCGCUGUGAAUGAGUAAAACACUCCUGGCAACCUGACGUAGCUCCUUUCUGGCCUUAACAACUGGCCCUAACAAGAACCCAGAGUGCUUAGUAAUGCCAGUGUGUCUUGCUUCCUUGCUUCAUCACGUCUUGUGGGCGAAGGAGCAAAUCCGUAUAGAUGUGACUGUAGAGUUGAUAAGAAAGUUUAGGUCAUCACUGGUGUUAGAGUUACAGUUUAGAGGAGUGUUCCAGGCCUCAAGAAUAACCUUUGCUGUGUAUAUAUUUGUUCCAUCAAGUGUGGGGUGCCAACUCUGCUGCCACAUUCCUCAGAGAGACUGACAAGUAAAUACCAAAUCUGAGUGCCCCUGUGACAGUGUGGAUGAGUUUUUUGGGCCCAGAAUAUAACCUUGGCUUUGUGUAUAUCAAGUGUGGGAAGCCAACUCUGCUGCCACAUUUCCCAGAGAGACAGACAAGUAAAUACCAAAUCUGAGUGCCCCUGUGACGGUGUGGAUGAGUUUUCUGGGCCCAUGCAGGGUAAUGAGGUUCCCUUGGUAUCUGUUGCAAGUGCUGGUCUGAUGCAUGCUGGAGUGUACUGCAUCUGCCACUCACCAAAGAUGAGGGCUUUGCACUCCUUUACAAGCAAACAGCCCUGGCUACAUGAAUCACUAUAAGUUUAAUCCAUUGCAGGCAGCACUCACUCCCUGAAGAAGGUGCCGGAGAGGGGGGUCGGCUGCCGAGAUGGUCAGGCUCACCGGCAGGGUUGUGGACGCCAUGUCUGAGAAGCAGCCGCAGCCCGGGGUUAGACGUGGAGAAGGUUCAGUCCACCGUCCGCCAGGCUGUGCGUGACUGGUCUCCAUCAGGCACAUUGGAGCGGCCCCGUCACUAGCAAGAGUGACCUCCUCUUCCCCAGGACACUGUGGAGGUACUGUCUGGGUCUCCAUGGUGGCCGGCGUCAUGGUGUGGAGCCUAACACUCUGGGCCUUGCUCAGGAUCGUACAAACUGGCGUGGAGAAGCACCCGAUGAAGCUCACCCGGGCACUUUUCUACGGGUGGGGCCUGCUGCUCGAGGACACGCCCUAUGACCCGCCCGAGGGAACA